rnacentral:rRNA from 1 species
UCGUUGCGGUUAAAAGCUCGUAGUUGGAUUUCUGCCGAGGACGACCGGUCCGCCCUGUGGGUGAGCAUCUGGAUCGGCCUGGGCAUCUUCUUGGGGAACGUAGCUGCACUUGACUGUGUGGUGCGGUAUCCAGGACUUUUACCUUGAGGAAAUUAGAGUGUUUCAAGCAGGCGCACGCCUUGAAUACAUUAGCAUGGAAUAAUAAGAUAGGACCUCGGUUCUAUUUUGUUGGUUUCUAGAGCUGAGGUAAUGAUUAAUAGGGAUAGUUGGGGGCAUUCGUAUUUAACUGUCAGAGGUGAAUUUUUUUGAUUUGUUAAAGACGGACUACUGCGAAAGCAUUUGCCAAGGAUGUUUUCAUUGAUCAAGAAC